UACGUAGGAGACGAGCGUUGUCCGGAGUUACUGGGCGUAAAGGGUGCGCAGGCGGCCCUGCGCGUCGCGAGUGAAAUCUCCCGGCUCAACUGGGAGGGUGGUCGCGAGACGGCAGGGCUUGAGGCUCGGUGAGGGGCGUGGAAUUCCGGGUGGAGCGGUGAAAUGCGUAGAGAUCCGGAGGAACACCAACGGCGUAGGCAGCGCCCUAGGCGAGACCUGACGCUCAGGCACGAAAGCGCGGGGAGCGAACAGG
rnacentral:rRNA from 1 species